UAGGGGUGAAAGGCCAAUCAAACUCGGAGAUAGCUGGUUCUCCGCGAAAUCUAUUUAGGUAGAGCGUCAUCCGAAUACCCCCGGGGGUAGAGCACUGGAUGGGUAAUGGGGCCCCACAGGCUUACUGAUCCUAACCAAACUCCGAAUACCGGGGAGUACUAGAUGGCAGACACACUGCGGGUGCUAACGCCCGUAGUGGAGAGGGAAACAACCCUGACCAACAGCUAAGGCCCCUAAUUCAUGGCUAAGUGGGAAAGCAGGUGGGACGACCAAAACAACCAGGAGGUUGGCUUAGAAGCAGCCAUCCUUUAAAGAUAGCGUAACAGCUCACUGGUCUAAAUAAGUUGUCCUGCGGCGAAGAUGUAACGGGGCUCAAGCCAUGAGCCGAAGCUUAGGAUGCACAUAGUGCAUGGUAGCAGAGCGUAGUGU
rnacentral:rRNA from 17 species